AUAAAAGCUACCCCGGGGAUAACAGAGUAGUCGCACCUGAGCGUCCACAGCGACGGUGCGGUUCGCUACCUCGAUAGACAAUGACCCAAACAUGUCGAGGUUAAUAAAUUUGGCUUAUAACGAAGAAGGCCUUGGAAUUGAACACUCAAGGUUAACAUCGUGGGAAGUCGUCAUAUUUUUUAUAUGAUUGACCCCGUAGAGACUGAUUCUCGAAAGAGAUGAGAUAUACACUUUUAAGUGCAUAUCAGACGCCAAUAAGUAAAGGAACGAGUGAAAUAAAAAAAGUUCUAAUACGAAAGAUAUAGUCCAAACCACUAGUAAUAGUUGGAGAGCACAAAUACACAUAGUUUUUAUGUAUAUUUUUGGUCGGCUCAGCGCAUCCUGGAGCUGAAGAAGGUUCCAAGGGUUGGUCUGUUCGCCCAUUAAAGCGCUACGUGAGCUGGGUUCAAACCGUCGUAAGACAGGUUGGUCUCUAUCCGCUGUCAGCGUGGGAUUUUUGAGGGGGUUUGUCUUCAGUACGAGAGGACCAAGAUGAGCCAAUCCCUGGUGUGCCAGUUGUUGUCGUCAGACGCAUUGCUGGGUAGCCACAUUGGUAUUGGAUAAUCGCUGAAUGCAUCUAAGCGAGAAGCCAUCCCCAAGAUGAGAAAUCCAUAUUAACGCAAGUUAAUGAAAGAACCCUAGUAGACUACUAGGUUGAUAGGCAGAAAGUGUAAGUGCCGCAAGGUAUUUAGCUUAUCUGUACUAAUGUUCAAAGAACAAAUCUUU
rfam:Microgenomates (Collierbacteria) bacterium GW2011_GWF1_44_12 TW26_C0028, whole genome shotgun sequence.